CCCGCACAAGCGGUGGAGCAUGUGGUUAAUUCGAUGAUACGCGAGGAACCUUACCUGGGCUCAAAUGUAUGUUGACGUAUUCUGAAAGGGAUACUUCUUCGGACAAUAUACAAGGUGCUGCAUGGUUGUCGUCAGCUCGUGCCGUGAGGUGUCGGGUUAAGUCCCGUAACGAGCGCAACCCCUAUCAUUAGUUGCCAUCAGGUCAAGCUGGGGACUCUAAUGAAACUGCCUACGCAAGUAGUGAGGAAGGUGGGGAUGACGUCAAAUCAGCACGGCCCUUACGUCCAGGGCGACACACGUGCUACAAUGGCCGGCACAACGGGAAGCGAGUUCGCGAGGACGAGCGGAUCCCUCAAAGCCGGUCGCAGUUCGGAUUGAAGUCUGCAACUCGACUUCAUGAAGCUGGAAUCGCUAGUAAUCGUGGAUCAGCCAAGCCGCGGUGAAUACGUUCCCGGGCCUU
rnacentral:rRNA from 1 species